GUACUAGUAGUGCGUUUCAGCUCCCCGAAAAAAAUUUAGGAAAAAUUAGGGACAGCCUGUAGGCGCACUGUAGAGCCGUAUUCAGACCCCGAAACAAGUAAGGACCCCUCACCCUAUUUCCUAUCACAGUAUUAAAGUUCAAUAAAUGAUAAAACAGUAUUUCAUGAAUCAGUAGAUGUCUGAAAUUGUUUAAGGACGCCAAUGGAGCCCGAGUCUGGUGUAUUUGUCGGUCAAUUGUUGUUUGUUCUAUUUUACAGUUUUAAAUGCAGUAUGAUGUCUAAUGUUUUCAUUUCAUAGUUUCGUGUGCAUAUAUCACUGUUCUAUUAAUUAUGGGUUGAAUGACUGAGAACCCACUGUAUUGUGUUGUCUUGUUUGGCAUAAACUAUUGGUUUGCAUGUUUGUGUGUGAUUUGAUGAUGGUGACUGAGGAAAAAAAAUGAAUAAAAUGUUAUGUGAAUUGAUAAAUGGAUAAUGUG
rnacentral:lncRNA from 1 species